rfam:Vibrio splendidus LGP32 chromosome 1
UAUCACUAAGGAUUGUUUUUCUCGCAAUACUUUUCCUGCGAGAUACGGAAAGGAUUCAAACCGCCAGCAUAGGCAGGUUUAGACCCAUAAAUAUAAAAGGACAAG